ensembl:lncRNA
CCUCAACGACCUACUGCCUGGAGGAGGCCAGUGCAGCCCCAUCAUCCGAAAGCACUUCUGUUUCUGUUUGGUCAUCCUGGUGUUGAGCACGUUGCAGUCUAUGGUGCUCACACGCCUGGCUAAGUGUGGCACUCUCUGGCCCUGCAGCCUCUCCAAGUCCAAAGACUCACUACUUAAAGACACAGACAAUGAAGAGGAAUCCAAGUCUGAUAUUAAAGCCUCAGCGGAAGAGAAGAAUACAGCCCUCCAGAAGGUGGUGAAGUUUCUCAACAAAAUGGCUGCACAAGACCAGAAAAAUGCUAUACACCAUCGCUUUGCCAACAAAGUGGACUUGAUCUGUUUCUGUAUCUAUCUCACCAUUCUCAUUGUUUAUGCAGUCGUCAUUUUAUAUUUCUCCUUUGGUUCUCAAUGUAAGAUCAACCAAUUAGAUUUCUGGUCAUAAAUUCUUUAUUCGCUUUUAACAACCAUUUUAAAAAAUAUUGGUGUAUUUGGGUCUUCAGAAGUUUUGCAAGCACAAACAAAAAGCUAGUUGUUUUGCAUUUCUGGGUAAAAUAACUAGAUGUGUUUAUUCUGAAGUAGGGCUUUAACAAUAUUUAUUUAAACAUGUUUAGAACUAGCCAGUCAUAUGUGUAAUAAUACAUUUAGCAAUUAGGGCUCUAAUGAAUACAUGUAAUGGGGACUGUAGUGCUAUAAUCCCCCAGAAUAGAGGCCUAGAACUCUAAUGAAUACAUGUAAUGGGGACUGUAGUAAUAUAAUCCCCCAGAAUAGAGGCCUAGAACUCUAAUGAAUACAUGUAAUGGGGACUGUAGUGAUAUAAUCCCCCAGAAUAGAGGCUUAGAACUCUAAUGAAUACAUGUAAUGGGGACUGAAGCUGUAGUAUUAGUAGUGUGGAAACAAAUUAAUAGUGUGUUAUUUGCUAUAGAGGCAGUGUGAAGGCCUUAUAUUAUCUCCUAACUAAGCAGGUUCUCAACCUCAGGCUGAGAUAUCAAAUAGUCUCUCAAUCAUCUCCUCCACCUGCGCUGGGCUGUAUUUGUGGUAUCUCUCAGGGUGUUUGGAGAAAUCAUGGUCACAUCUGUGUAAAGUACAGGCAAAGGACCAUAAUGAAUAUCACUGUACCAGCGUUCUGUAUGAAAUUCUUACUGCACAUCAAUAUUGGACAGUGGUGAAUAAAAUAACCCAUGUCUUGUACCAAACAUACAUGGGACAUCCCAGUUUCACCUACAAUAUUUGAAAUCAGUUAUUCAACCACCUUAUGUGUGCUGAAUUCCAAAUGAACCCCCUAUUCCCUAGCCACCCUUGCAGAUCUAAGAGGAUUGGAUAGGUAGAAGCAAUACGACAACAUUUUCACUAGGC